UUAGUUGUGAAGCUAGGACUGAAGGAAGCAGGACUACAAAAGUCGGUACUGACGAACAGGAAUCGCAUACAGAGGCAUAGCCAAUUUGGGUAAGCAAGCACAUCAUUGUAACGCCCACAAGAAAAGAUUGGUUAUGUAGAUGCGGCAGUUAUUGACGGGAAGAAAAAGCU
rnacentral:ncRNA from 1 species